rnacentral:rRNA from 1 species
CCCAGUGAACGGCGGCCGUAACUAUGACGGUCCUAAGGUAGCGAAAUUCCUUGUCGGGUAAGUUCCGACCCGCACGAAUGGCGUAACGACAUCCCCACUGUCUCCAGUAUCGACUCAGCGAAAUUGAAUUCUCCGUGAAGAUGCGGAGUUCCCGCGGCUAGACGGAAAGACCCCGUGCACCUUUACUACAGCUUUACAUUGGCAUUAGAAACUUGAUGUGUAGGAUAGGUGGGAGGCUAUGAAGCGAGGGCGCUAGCUCUCGUGGAGCCAACCUUGAAAUACCACCCUUUAAGUUUUUGAUGUCUAACCUAGUACCAUGAAUCUGGUACAGGGACCGUGUAUGGCGGGUAGUUUGACUGGGGCGGUCGCCUCCCAAAGAGUAACGGAGGCGCGCGAUGGUAGGCUCAAGCUGGUCGGAAAUCAGCUUGUAGAGUGUAAUGGCAUAAGCCUGCCUGACUGUGAGACUGACAAGUCGAACAGGUACGAAAGUAGGUCAUAGUGAUCCGGUGGUUUCCAUGUGGAAGGGCCAUCGCUCAACGGAUAAAAGGUACGCCGGGGAUAACAGGCUGAUGAUUCCCAAGAGUCCAUAUCGACGGAAUCGUUUGGCACCUCGAUGUCGGCUCAUCACAUCCUGGGGCUGAAGAAGGUCCCAAGGGUUCGGCUGUUCGCCGAUUAAAGUGGUACGUGAGCUGGGUUUAGAACGUCGCGAGACAGUUCGGUUCCUAUCUACCGUGGGUGUAAGAAGUUUGAGAGGAUCUGCCUUUAGUACGAAAGGACCGAGGUGGACGUACCUCUAGUGGUCCAGUUGUCGCGCCAGCGGCACGGCUGGGUAGCUAACGUACGGAAGGGAUAAACGCUGAAAGCAUCUAAGCGUGAAACCCACCUCAAGACUAGACUUCUCCAUUAGGGCCGUGAAAGACCAUCACGUUGAUAGGCCAGGUGUGUAAGCAUGGUAACAUGUUUAGCUUACUGGUACUAAUAGCCCGAUUGACUUAAUUUG